rnacentral:rRNA from 1 species
GAUGAACGCUGGCGGUAUGCUUAACACAUGCAAGUCGAACGGACUCUUCGGAGUUAGUGGCGGACGGGUGAGUAACGCGUGAGAAUCUGGCUUUGGGUUCGGGACAACCACUGGAAACGGUGGCUAAUACCGGAUGUGCCGAGAGGUAAAAGAGAAAUUGCCUGAAGAUGAGCUCGCGUCUGAUUAGCUAGUUGGUGAGGUAAAGGCUCACCAAGGCAGCGAUCAGUAGCUGGUCUGAGAGGAUGACCAGCCACACUGGGACUGAGACACGGCCCAGACUCCUACGGGAGGCAGCAGUGGGGAAUGUUCCGCAAUGGGCGAAAGCCUGACGGAGCAAUACCGCGUGAGGGAAGAAGGCUCUUGGGUUGUAAACCUCUUUUCUUAGGGAAGAACAAAAUGACGGUACCUAAGGAAUCAGCAUCGGCUAACUCCGU